rnacentral:rRNA from 1 species
GAUGAACGCUAGCUAUAGGCUUAACACAUGCAAGUCGAGGGACCGGCGCACGGGUGAGUAACGCGUAUCCAACCUACCCAUAACUAAGGGAUAACCCAGCGAAAGUUGGACUAAUACCUUAUGGUUAUGGAUGGGGAUGCGUCUGAUUAGCUUGUUGGCGGGGUAACGGCCCACCAAGGCAACGAUCAGUAGGGGUUCUGAGAGGAAGGUCCCCCAGAUUGGAACUAAGGCACGGUCCAAAAUGCGAGGGGAGGCAGGAGGGAGGAAUAUGAGGCAAUGGACGCAAGUGUUAACCAGCCAAGUGGCGUGCAGGAUGACGACGUAUGGGUGGUAAACUGCUUUUAUAGGGGGAGAGGUAACAUAUGAAUAAGGACCGGCUAAUUCCGUGCCAGCAGCCGCGGUAAUAC